rnacentral:lncRNA from 1 species
UUUUUAUAUCAACAUAAACAAGCUUUAUGAAAGGAGAAACAACAACGAUUUGAAACAUAGAGGCAAUUUCUGAAAAUAUAGAGAAACAAUGCAAAGAUUUCAGCUGGCCGAUUUCGAAAUAACACCAUAAAACAGCAACAACAUCAACAAUUUUUAGAGCUUCCUUCUAAUGGAGAAACAACAGCAAGACAGAAAAGAGAAUAAGAAGCAGAAG